rnacentral:rRNA from 1 species
UGGGGAAUUUUGGACAAUGGGCGCAAGCCUGAUCCAGCCAUGCCGCGUGCGGGAAGAAGGCCUUCGGGUUGUAAACCGCUUUUGUCAGGGAAGAAAUCUUCUGAGUUAAUACCUCGGGAGGAUGACGGUACCUGAAGAAUAAGCACCGGCUAACUACGUGCCAGCAGCCGCGGUAAUACGUAGGGUGCAAGCGUUAAUCGGAAUUACUGGGCGUAAAGCGUGCGCAGGCGGUUUUGUAAGACAGAGGUGAAAUCCCCGGGCUCAACCUGGGAACUGCCUUUGUGACUGCAAGGCUUGAGUGCGGCAGAGGGGGGAUGGAAUUCCGCGUGUAGCAGUGAAAUGCGUAGAUAUGCGGAGGAACACCGAUGGCGAAGGCAAUCCCCUGGGCCUGCACUGACGCUCAUGCACGAAAGCGUGGGGAGCAAACAGGAUUAGAUAGCCCUGGUAGUCCACGCCCUAAAACGAUGUCAACUGGUUGUUGGGAAGGUUCCUUCUCAGUAACGUAGCUAACGCGUGAAGUUGACCGCCUGGGGAGUACGGCCGCAAGGUUGAAACUCAAAUGAAUUGACGGGGU